rnacentral:lncRNA from 1 species
CCCAUUCAAUCCAGGUUGUUGAUCAAAAUGAUCAACGACCACCCUUAACCCUUUCCUAAAUUAAUUCCGACCUACCCCCAAACCCUAGUCAUUUCUGCCUGCAGCCGCCUUUAAAUUCCCCCCCCCCCACUCCCAAUCCUCUCUCAAACCCUAGCCGCCACCUUCAACUAGCACCUUAAAAUCGCCUGAAUCAAUGGCUUCCAAAGCUAUUAAAGGCCUGUAUAUACCUCCUAUGACUUCUACCUGCCUGGUUAUCAUAUUUUCAAGGCUAGACCUUGAAGAAAUUUUGGUCCAGACCUGGGUUGAUUUCAGUUCCAUGGCUAUCUCUGACCUUGCUCCGGCCAGCCAAGGCUAUUCGAGCCUGAUCUUGACUUCUCCUACGUAGAUCGAUGCUUUCCAAGCCUUUCUCACCAUCUGGGUUCUUCUGAAACCCUAACCUUCGAGGUACUUCCGAUUCUUUUAGAUCCAUUGUAAAUCUGUGUUUAUUCUAAACUUCUAAACGUUUUCUCAAAAAAUUCUUUCAAAACCUUACCUUCAAAACGUUUAUCUUUUCCGAUUUAGGGUUGGGUUAAGUUAUUUAGAAGCUUUCUCUGAUAUUUAGCAUGUUCUACUGUGUUUCUUUAUGUUAUUCUUCUACUGGAGUGUGCAUCAUUAAAAGUCUUAAUUCUUUCUUGAGUUUUCUGAUUUUAUUUUGUUGAUGUUUUUGCCUGAUUUACUUGUUUUUCAUCUCUAUACUCGAGUAAUGGUGAAAACCCUAAAAUUUGGGGUUAAUUCGAGUUCUGAGACUAUUUGCUAUGUGAUUUACUUAUUCGUCAUACUCUGAAUACAAUGGGUCUCAAAAGCCUGAUUCCUUUGAACCUAUUCAAGUUUCUGAAGUUGCUUCACCUGUUGCUUGACUGAAUUUCAAAAUCUUUGUUUCUUUAUAUGAUUCUGACUUCCUGCUAAACUCUAUAAGGUCUUUUACUUGACCCCAUUUUCAUGCUAUUUGAUACUCUCUCUUUUCCCUAUUACUGAGUUACUAAGAUUGACAUAUGGGACUACUAUGUUCCUAUAGUCCACUACUUACUAACUUUGUGAUUGCAUGACGCUUCUCUUUGUCCUAAAUUCAGCCUUGCAUGCCUAAUACAUAUGUACUCUUUUAUAUGCUGAAUUUCCCUCUAAAAUGACCUUCAACUUUGGGAUUGAUUUCAAACCUCCUUGUUUAAUUUUGAUUGCAUUCAUGUGUUAAGUGAUUGACUCUUUCCUUGUUUCGCCUUACUGAUUUCCCUGUUUCUUAGGUUGAUUUGAAAACUUUCCUUAGACUUUCAAUUCCCCUAUUUCUGACUGGUUCAUUUGUUUAUUCAUGGGAACCCCUGUUAUCCUCCCCAAAUCUGUAAUUUCAAAAUCCCUGACUCCUUGAUUUACUAUGUACUGAUUGCCUAUAUAUUCUGCAACUUUACUCUAUUUUCUUACCUUAUUUGGUUAACCGAGUAUUUCAAAGAUUCUUCCCUUAAUUAAACCCCAAUGCAUUUACCCCUAAUUGCCUACUUUGCACAAGAUGCUUACUUGAUUUCUUUCCUUAAAGGUUUUUCGUCCAUUACCGUUUAAGUUUAAACUCCUUAAUUAAAUGAAGCUCUUAUACUGAUUGAUUUUAAUUGGUACACAGUUCCAUAAUUAUUUUAUGCAUGUUUUCACACUAUAAAUAUCCUGCUCUUUCAUUAACACACAGACACGAACACACUUAGUUCUAAAAUUUCUUACACUAAAAACAUUCUCUCCUGCUUUACUACUACUAUGACCCAUUUAGCUGGCUGAAAGCCAAAGCUACUUUCAAAGACUUGCUACCUGCUUUUACUGUAUUUUGCUUCUUUGAACUGGUAUGUUCUGAUUAAAAUUCCAGCAUCACAACAAUGUGUUUACUUAAUACUUUCACCUUCUUGUCUGCCUACUGCUUGUGUUUAGUUCAGUACUUAUUUUAGCAUGCUAUAAUUUCCUUCUGCUUGUUCAGAAUCUAUUAUGAAUCCUAAACCCCUACCCCAAUGUGUUUGAUACUGAUGGUUUGUUUGAGGCAUGACAGUAUUAAGCAUUGCUGUCUAUGACUCAAACGUGAUUCCCCUAGGAUCAUAACCUCUACGUUACCAUUAUGUGAUUGUGUAUUCUGUUGAUUUCGUAAGCAUAACAGCAUUCUCGAUUAUUGUGCAUGCCAAGAAUUAACUAAUGCAUAAGUACAUAGGCCCUUUGCAAUCCCCAGUCCCUGAACCCCCUUUGUGUGAAGUCCUUAACUCUGUAACUGUUUCCUAGCACCCCUUUCCCUUUCCUUUACUUACUUAGUUCUUAAAGUUUUGUUUCUGCACUUUCACUCUGUCUUAGACUUAAGUUUUGCCCCCUCUUGUGAGCCUUGCCUUGGGACCCAUUGAGCUCCCUCUGAACUUGGACACUUGAGGGCUGGCACUUCCACACUGCACAUGUCCCCAUUCUGGUGAUACAAUUUGGGUGUGAGCACUGCCCGGAGUCCCAUUGAGGCUCUUAGGGAACUCUGACACACUCAAAUUGGAGAAAGGCUUUGGAUCAAUGGUCUUUGAGUUGGUCUAUAUCAUAACUCUGAGAGGAAGUGAAAAAGGGUGGGUAACUAUGCAUGCAAGGGUAGAAAACAUGCCUAUAGGACUGUUUUAAUUCUGCAUAUUCAACUUCAUGUAGAAAACCUGCCUAUAGGGUACUUUUAAUUCUGCACAAUUCAAACCGCAUUUAGAUACCAUGUCUAUAAGGUUUAAUACAAGUUUCUGUAUUUAGAUACUAGGUCUAUAAGGAUUAAUACAAGUUCCUGCAUUUAGAUACCAUGUCUAUAAGGUUUAAUACGAGUUUCAGCAUUUAGAUACCAUAUUUAUAAGGGUCUAAAAUCAGCGAUAUAUAGAAAUCAUGCCUAUAGGAAUUUCCUAAAUGAAUCUGAUUCGCUUCACUCAAAUGUUAGAUAAAAUCAGUAAUAAUAGAUACUACCGCCUGCAGCACCUGUAACUAGUCCAAGUUUUGUAUAUUCCGUUCUUUUAAUAACCUAAUUCCCUCGCUCAACAAGGUCUAGUAAUCAUGCCUAUAGGAUUUCAGAUAACUUAUUUCAAGUUUCUACUGUCUCAUCACCUUCUGAAUUCAGUAGAUAUCAUGCCUAUAAGACCUCAUUUAAACACUUAGGCAAGCCUUAGAGUAAUAACUGUAGACUAAAUAUGCUUCUGUUAAUCGCUACAACCAGCAGGCAGGCCUGAUUCGGACUUUCUAUCUGAGUUAUGUAAUAAACUAAAGCUGCCUCAACAAUCUCAUCUUUAGUAUAUUUAAAUCAGACCUAAGCAGUAUGUGUAAGACAUGCUAUUUUAUGUGUUUUGCUUGAGGAGGUGUACUUGAGCCUUAUAUGUUUAUGUGUUUCCCCUUAACAUGCAAUAUGUCUUUUGUAUGUCGCGUUAGUUUACCUUUGAACUCCAAAUAUGCCUGAUAUCCCUCCCUUUUUUAGGAUUAGUAGUCCUAAGUGCCUCCGGGACUGAUAGGAAUGGGAUGGGUAAUAGCAUACAAUAAGUAAUCGAGACCAAUCCGCGCUUUAGAUACCUUAACGGGGUGGGAAGGGUAGAUAUGGAUAUGAUGACCACGUGAUAAUGUCACGUGUAGCCCCUCAUUGAGGAGUGAUUACCGGACAUUGUGUGGGGUGAUCCAUAUUUUUAAUAAACCUAGGACUCCUUUCGUUUGUUCUUUAUUUCUUUCAUUAUUUAACUCCUUAUUAAAAAAUCAGCUUUUCUAAUUGUUCUUUCAAACUUUGUUUACUUUCAAACCAUUAUAUACUGAAACCCCCUCUUAUUUUAGCCUAAUUUGCUUUUAUGUUAAUUGCACUCCAAAUUUACAAUAAUUGUCUGGCCGGAAACCACACUAGUGGAAUUUGAGGGGUGCCUAACACCUUCCCCUUAGAAUAAUUUCAAGCCCUUACCCUAUCUCUCGUUAUUCAAAUCAAACCCUUUGGUGUCCUAAUUCACCCCUAAUCAUUAGGUGGCGACUCUUCAAAUUCAAACCCAAUUCCCAAAAGGAAUGAGUUGUCCUUCCAAAUGUCAUAAACUCAGACUCCGCGAGGAAAAAGGGAGCGCGACAGCAUGACAACUCUGCUGGGGAUCUUUAGGCUUUUACCAUUUCAGACUAUUGUUGUGAAUUUAUGCGCAAUUAUUUGUUUACUUCUUUUAAGCAUUCAAUUUCCUUUUCAAUUGCCAAACUGACUUGUCUUCUUUUUUUCUUUCCUUUACGGCUUUCCUUCAUUACUGCUUUAAAUUAUGAAACUGCUGUAUUUACUUCUUUCUUAAACGUGCAAGUACGUGACAACAUGCCUUUAAUUGUUGCAUAAUCAUGUUCAACAUCAUAUUCCAAUCGUGCCAAAACAAAUCCUAUAGCAAUGCUUAUAAUGAGUGGUUGCGCUCUUCUGAUAUUAUCACCCCCUAAAUCCGGAAAAGGCGUAUUUGCGGUAAAACCAGUCGAUCAACAGUGUAGUCGGCGGUUCCGUGCCUUUCCCCUUUGAGUUGUCCGCUCAAAGGUACCAGUCUAAAACCACAUAGGAACCUUACUCUGUUUGAACUGUGCAUGCAUCAUGGUCAGCCUAGCUGAGUCGGUUAUGUUGUCCACAUAAUGACUCUUUAAGAUAGCUUUGUCCAAAGUCCAAUGGGUUUCCCUAAAACCCAAACGAAUAUUAUCACGUUCUGUGCAUUUAUUUGGAGAACUAAAUGCUUUUAUGUCAAUUAUUGAUAUUAAAUAGUCGAGUCCGGUCGGGGUAAGGGCCUAACCUUUUUGUCUUGAAGAAAUAUGAAGAACGAGGUCCCCAGUUUUGGUACGGUUAGCACGUCCCCACUCUUACUAGACUAGUGGAGGAGUCUUCCAUCAUAUGACCAAAUCAAUGAGUGGAAAGAGAGGGCCGCUAGAGCUAGCGAAAAGUUGGAGUAUCUGGAAUACAGUCUGCUGGAAUUAGAAGGAAAAGUGAGGAAGAGAGUCACCAACUGCCAGAACGCUCAGGGAAACGAAGGAGAAUACCUGGCAAAGGCAUUUUUACUGAUGAACCUACGCGAACUGGAGGAUUUGAUCAACGAGAGCAUUCAACCUGAGGAAGGUCCUUCUGGGACCAAAUAGAUAGGAGUUUUUCUUUUGCUUUAAGAAAUGUAAUAAGGCCAAUGGCCAAUAGUGACUUUAUUUCCCGUUAUUUAGUGUCGAUUUGGGAUUCGUCUAUUUUUAAUCAAUGAAAUGAGGCAUCUAGUAUUCUAAGUUCUCCAAAUUAAUUUGUCGCUAUGCCUACCUCGGGCACAAAGAGGUUCCCUAAAUUAGGACACGAUUUACAUUCUCGCACUAUGUGUUUAAAUAUUGCGAUGCUUUUUAUACUCCUCACUAACUUGUUACCUUUUUGUUUUUACUUUUUGUUUAUUAUUCUCCUCUCCAAAGGUUAGUUCGUGCACUCUGGCAACAUCAUUUUAUUCCACGAGAUCCAGGGGCCCUCCACCCACUCCUCCUCUCAGUCCUGUCAAAAACAAGAACAAAGGGAAGAUGAAAGAUUUGAACAAUGCCAGAAAGGAGAACUCAACUGAACGGGUAGAGGUCACUCAUGGUCAUGACACUCUGGUUCCUAAGGAAAGUGCAUCCCAACUUGAACAAAAGCUGCUGAAAUUCCAAGAAGAACUUGAUCAGGUUCGGAAUCUGGCAAAUCUAUCAUUUUCCCUCACUACUCCAGAUGUCAAUUUCCCAAAUGCUCAGAACCCUACACUGCCACAAAAUAUCCCAAAACCACAAAACCAUCCCGCUCCUCACCACCACUGCAGCACCUAUCAUACUUCCAACAAUAAUCCACUACUCAUCCCAAAACCUUUAAACCCCACAAAUGACCACUUCCACACUCAUCACAACACUCUCAUCUACGUGGAGACCAUGCCACACUCCACGCGACACAUCUCGAGCACACCCGAGUGAUAAAUACUCGCUCAUCAGGAACCUGGUGGAAGAACUUAAGAAAUUGGCGAGCCGAAUCCAAGGCGUCGAAGGAAGAAAGAGAAUUGAGGGGUUGAAUUAUGAGGAUAUUUGCAUACAGCCCGAUGUCGAACUACCCGAGUGGUACAAACCUCCGAAGUUCGAAAUGUUUGAUAGUACAGGGGAUCUAAGAGUCUAUUUGAGAACUUACUGUGACAAGCUGGUCGGAGUAGGGAAAGACGAGAGAAUCCGCAUAAAACUUUUCAUGAGAAGUCUGAAAGAAGAUGCUCUAUCUUGGUACAUUAGCCAAGAUCCAAAGAAAUGGUCAAACUGGGUAGGCAUGGCGUCCGACUUUAUGGACAGGUUCAAGUUCAACACGGAGAAUGCGCCAGAUGUGUUCAACAUUCAGAAUCUAAAGAAGAAACCUACAGAAACAUUCUACGAAUAUGCUACUCGUUGGAGAUCCGAAACUGCUAAGGCCAGACCUGCCUUAGAAGAGGAACAAAUGAACAAAUUCUUCAUCCGGGCUCAGGACCCGCAGUAUUAUGAAAGGCUGAUGUUGAUUGAGAGCCAUAAAUUUUCUGACAUUAUCAAGCUGGGUGAAAGGAUCAAAGAGGGCAUCAAAAGCGGUAUAGUUACGAACUUCGAGGCUUUGCAAGCUACCAAUAAGGCCUUACAGUCUGGUGGUGCAUCCAAGAAAAGGGACGUAGGGUCCGUAAUGGUUGCACAGAGAACCAAAUCUCCUAUCAAAUACCAAACCUAUCCAAUGUCUCCACUCACAUAUCAGCCUACUCCAAAUUACCAAGCACCCCACCCUCUUACCAAACUCCACUAUUCACUUAUCAAUCACCUCCACCUCUCACAUAUCAGCCUACUUCACCCAGAUAUUCCCAACCUGCGCAUGUUUACCAAGCCUACAAUGCUUAAUCGUCUCAUCAUCAAUCACCUCCUACACGCUAAAACUACCCUAGACCUCGACCAAGUUUUGAUCGUAGACCUCCUAAGUAGUAUACAGCCAUUACUGAACCCAUUGACCAGUUAUAUGAGAGACUCAAAGUUGUUGGUUAUGCCACCCCUAUCCCUGCUGUAACCCCUGAGAACCCUUCUUAGUGGAUUAAUCCAAACAAAUCAUGUGCAUACCAUUCCGGAUGAAAGGGCACACCAUCGACGAAUGUCGUUCCUUGAAGGACAAGAUCCAGGCUCUGAUUGACAACAAGAUUAUCAUGGGAAUUGAAAUAGAGGAUGAUUGGGAUCCCAAGGGAACGAUCGGUUUGAUCGUAGAAAGUGAUGACCCAAAGAAGCCAAUAGUUACUCCUAAUCUGAUCGUGGUCCAGAUUCAGCCCUCUGGGGGCAUCGAGGUAAAUAUGUUCGUAUCACUGGAGUUUGAAACAAUGUUAUCUGCAAAGACACCAAUGACAAUUGAGGUCGAAUUCGUGUCUCCAGCAAGUGCACCUCUACCAUUCGCAGCUGCCAUCCUACCACCCAAAGCACAUGCUCCAUUCGGAGUGAAGAUAGCCGUGCCGAUUCCAGUGGCGAUGUCAACCAUGACACCCUUCCAUACAAAGGCCAUACCAUGGGACUAUACAGCUGAGGCAAGAACAAAAGGCAAGGGUAGGUUCGAGAAAAUUGUUGUCGCACAGGGUAUAACGAGAACUAGUAGGAUUUAUACCCGGGAACACCUAGCUGAGUCAAGCAAGCAGGCCUCCAAUCGGUUACCCAUCAUUGAGACAGGUCCAGGCAAUCUCUGGAGAAAAAUACAGGCAAAGGAAUACUCGGUCAUCGACCAGUUGAACAAAACAUCGGUGCAAAUUUUCAUACUUGCUUUGCUACAAAAUUCUGAGGUAUACAAGAAUGCUCUGUUGAAGGUGCUGAGUGAAGCAUACAUGCCAAACAACAUUACUGGCGGGGAAAUAGCCAACAUGGUCGGACAGGUAUUGGAAAGUCACAAAAUUACUUUUCAUGAGGUUGAGCUACCGCCUGAAGGGUUAGGACACAACAAAGCACUGCACAUCAUCGUGCAAUGUGAAGACUACUUCAUCACUAGAAUCCUGAUCGACGGGGGUUCCAGUCUUAACAUUUGUCCGUUGGUAACACUCAAGAAGUUAGGUAAGGGACUGCACGAGAUAAAGGAUGGAGCCAUAAACGUGAAAGCUUUCGAUGGUUCCCAAAGGUCCACCAUUGGGGAGAUUAGUCUGUGUUUGCAAAUGGGACCGACUUGGUUCGAUGUUGAUUUCCAAGUGAUAGACGUAACAGCAUCUUACAAUUUGUUGUUGGAAAGGCCGUGGAUUCAUGAUGUUGGAGUUGUAGCAUCAACACUGCAUCAGGCAGUAAAAUUGGAAUAGAAUCACCAGGAAGUGAUCAUUCACGGCAACCAUAGCAAUCCUAUAUACAGUCGCCAAACCAUUCUGUCAAUCGAGGGGAGAAAGAAGCUGGGAGGAGAGACUUAUCACCACAUCGAACGGGUAAAUGCUGUUGACAAAGACAAAUGGUGGGAUAACAAGAUCGAGAGCAUACUAAAUUGGAAUGGGUAUGAACCUGGCAAAGGACUUGGCAAGAAUCUCCAAGGAAUCACUGAACCCAUAAAACUCAAAAAGCACGGCACCACUUACGGUUUGGGAUAUGAGUACACUUGGGAGGAAUUCAACAACUGGUCGUCGCCAUGGCGUGGUCCUUAUUAUCCGCUGCAACAGCUAGUACCGCGUUUGGAGCAGACUUUCCAACCAGCCAAUGUUAUCUAUGGGUAAAGAGGAAGAAGCACUCGGAGCAGUGAAGAAUUUGUUCUUAGAAGAUAAUGAUAUGUAUUGUUGUGUUGUUCUCGAGGAGGAGGGGAGGAAAGCCCUUCCAUAUAGGUUGUAAGCAUAGGAUCAUGCCUCAAUAACUGGACUAUCAGGACAACCAGAGCCCGAUGAGCCUUGGGGUAGCAAGGCUAAAACAAGCACUGUUUUGUUUACUAAAAGAUUUUGUUUUAGCAUGUUUUCAAUUCCUGUAAUAAGAUCUUCAAUGUUCAAAACAAUUAUGUAAUUUAUCAAAGUAUUUUGACUUUUCUUAUGAAUUAACACUCAUUAUUAUUUUUCUCUCAUUACUUUGCUUAUACAGCAUUACUAUUACUUAUCUUGAUGAACCAAUGACUGUGACAUGCAACGAGACAACAUAACAAACAGACACAGAUUCAGAGGAAGAUGACGUACCAGAAGAGAUUGUUAAGGAAGUUGAGAAUUUUGAGAACAGACCUAAGUCCAACCUGGAUGAAACAAAAGUGGUUAACUUGGGAAAUGCAGAAAACGUCAAAGAAACACGAAUCAUCAUCCACUUAUCGCCAUCAAAAAAGAAGGAGUACACGGAAUUUCUAAGAGAAUAUGAGGACAUAUUCGCCUGGUCAUAUGACGACAUGACUGGUCUGAGUACAUCUAUCGUGGCUCAAAAACUGCCAACCAAUCCAACAUGUCCGUCGGUAAAGCAAAAGCUCAGAAAGUUCAAGCCUGACGUGAGUCUGAAAAUCAAGGAAGAAGUCACUUAGCAGGUCAAAGCUAAGGUUCUCAGGGUAGUGGAAUACCCAACAUGGUUAGCCAACAUCGUGCCAGUACCAAAGAAGGAUGGGAAGGUCAGAGUCUGUGUUGACUACCGGGAUCUCAACCGGCCAGUCCGAAAGACGACUUCCCUUUGCCAAACAUACACAUCUUGAUCGACAAUUGCGCCAGGCAUGAGUUGCAAUCAUUUGUAGACUGUUUUGCUGAUUAUCAUCAUAUCUGGAUGGAUGAAGAAGAUGCUGAGAAAAUGGCUUUCAUUACACCGUGGGGAAUGUAUUGCUACAAGAUGAUGUUGUUCGGGUUAAAGAAUGCAGGGGCCACCUACAUGAGGGCCAUGACUACCAUUUUCCACGAUAUGAUACACAAUGAAAUAGAGGUGUACGUAGAUGAUAUUAUCAUCAAGUCCAAGAAAGCCACUGAUCACAUGGAAGAUUUGAGGAAGUUCUUCAAUAGACUGAGAAGGUACAACCUAAAACUAAAUCCCACGAAAUGUGCAUUUGGGGUUCCAGCUGGAAAGUAGGGUUGGGCAUAUAUCGGGCAUAACCAAUAGACCAAACCAAUAAAAUGCUAUUGGGUUAUCGGUAUCGGGUUAUUGGUAAAUAGUUCGAUAACGAUUUAAUGCUAUUUGACUAAUGGGUUAUUGGUUCGGGUCUCAAUUUUCCCAAUUUAUAAAUGGUUUAAUCGAUAGCCAAUAAGCUUUCACAAAAUUAUAAUUUUACCCACUAAAUAUAUAAAACCACCUUAUGGAUUCAUUCUCUCAUUCUCUCAAUUCUCUCGGUAGCUACUCUUCAUCUUCUAACCUUAAUUAGUUUUAAACUUUAAAGAAUUAAUUGUUCAGAUUUUUAGUUUUUCUAUUUGUUUCUUUUGUUGCACUGAUUCUUUAGUAUUUACAAGAUUAGGAUUUUACUAUUUUUUCCUAUAAAUUUUGCCCGCUCGCAGUGAGAUAGUUAGUAAGAUUAGAUUGUUGAAUGUCUUAUCCCUUACUCCUAUUAACUUAUAACUUUGAAAAUUGAGAUCAUUCAUUGGGAUUUUCAAAUGCAAAGAAAGUUUUAUUUUCUAAGUUGAAAUUUAAUCCCUCUUAUCUUAAGAGUAAAAAUUCAAUUCCUUUCUCCUAAUAGUUCGAUCAUGAUUUCUAUAAUAAAAACAUGAAUUUUUUGGAUAGUUUUUAUUCUUAUCAGGUAAACCGAUAACCGAACUGAUAAGGAUCGAUAACCGAUACCCGAUAAUCGAUAUCCGAUAACCGAUAUCUUAUCGGUUCCAUUAUCGGUUUAGUAUAUUUAUAAACCGAUAACCGAUAUGACGAACCAAUAACAUUCAUAACCAAACCGAACCGACCGAUACCCAUCCCUACUGGAAGUUUCUUGGGUUCAUUAUAAGUCGUCGAAGGAUAGAACUGGACCCAUCGAAAGUCAAGCUAUUCAAGAAUUGCCACCGCCAAAGAACAAGAAGGAUGUGAUUAGUUUCUUGGGGAGACUCAACUACAUCAGCCGGUUCAUAACACAAUCUACAAUUAUCUGUGAGCCAAUAUUUAAGAUGUUAAAGAAGGAUAUCGCUACCAAAUGGACUGACGACUGCCAAAAAGCUUUCGACAAAAUUAAGGAGUAUCUAUCAAUACCACCAGUCUUAGUCCCGCCUGAGCCAGGUAGACCCUUAUUACUCUACCUUGCAGUACUGGAUGGAGCUUUCAGUUGUGUUCUGGGGCAACAUGAUGAAACGGGGAGGAAGGAGCAGGCUAUUUAUUACCUCAGUAAGAAGUUCACCCCGUACGAGGCCCGGUAUUCUCUGUUAGAGCGCACCUGUUGUGCAUUGACUUGGGUAGCCAAGAAGCUGAGGCAUUACUUCUGUGCCUAUACCACAUAUCUCAUGUCAAGGAUGGAUCCCUUGAAGUACAUCUUUCAGAAGCCCAUGCUCACUGGAAAGCUAGCCAAGUGGCAAAUCCUGUUGAGUGAAUUUGACACUGUCUAUGUAACUUAGAAUGAAAUCAAGGGACAGGCACUAGCAGAUUACCUUGCUGAAAAUCCCGUGGACGGAGAAUACGAACCCCUGAAAACGUAUUUUCCUGAUGAAGAGGUAUCAUUCAUAGGAGAAGAUACUGCAGAAUCCUAUGAUGGUUGGAGAAUGUUCUUCGAUGGAACAACAAAUUUCAAAGGAGUUGGUAUAGGAGCGGUCCUAGUAUCAGAAACCGGUCAGCAUUAUCCAGUGUCUGCCAAACUCAAGUUCCCGUGCACCAACAAUAUGGCCGAGUACGAAGCCUUCAUCCUAGUGCUCAAGAUGGCUAUUGACAUGAACAUUCAGGAGUUGCUAGUGAUCGGAGAUUCGGACCUACUUAUACAUCAAGUCCGAGAAGAAUAAGCGACCAAGAACUCCAAGAUACUCCCAUAUCUACAUUAUGUACAGGAACUAAGAAAGAGGUUCACAAAAACGGAAUUCCAACAUGUUCCCAGAGUCCAGAACGAGUUCGCUGAUGCCUUGUCUACCCUGUCAUAUAUGAUACAACAUCCAGACAAAAACUUCAUUGAUCCCAUUCCAGUAAGGAUCCAUGAUCAGCCAACUUAUUGUGCCCAUGNNNNNNNNNNNNNNNNNNNNNNNNNNNNNNNNNNNNNNNNNNNNNNNNNNNNNNNNNNNNNNNNNNNNNNNNNNNNNNNNNNNNNNNNNNNNNNNNNNNNNNNNNNNNNNNNNNNNNNNNNNNNNNNNNNNNNNNNNNNNNNNNNNNNNNNNNNNNNNNNNNNNNNNNNNNUUGUCCAAUAAUUUCUUUCAUAGUGGAGGAAUCUUGUAUAGGAGGACUCCUGAUCUUGGAUUGUUAAGGUGUGUCGAUGCAAAGGAAGCAUCCAGGCUACUAGAGGAAAUUCACGCUGGGACCUGUGGUCCACAUAUGAAUGGCUUUGUCUUAGCAAAGAAGAUACUCCAAGCUGGUUACUUUUGGAUGACUAUGGAAACGGACUACAUCCAGUAUGUCCGAAAAUGCCACCGCUGCUAGGUAAAUGCAGACAUGAUAAAGGUACCCCCAAACGAACUCAAUGCAACAAGCUCACUGUGGCCGUUCGCCGCCUGGGGAAUGGACGUUAUUGGAUCAAUCGAACCUGCCGCUUCCAACGGGCAUAGGUUUAUCCUAGUAGCAAUUGACUAUUUCACCAAAUGGGUCGAAGCAGCAUCCUACCGAGCGGUAACUAAGAAAGUCGUGGCAGACUUUGUCCACGACCGCAUCAUUUGCCGAUUCGAGAUUCCAGAAUCAAUCAUUAUCAAUAAUGGCUCCAAUCUUAACAGUGACUUGAUGAAAGCUAUGUGUGAAACUUUCAAGAUCAAACACAAGAAUUCUACAACCUACAGACCUCAGAUGAACGGGAUCAUAGAAGCCGCCAAUAAGAACAUCAAGAAGAUACUAAGGAAAAUGAUAGAGAAGCAUAAUCAGUGGCAUGAGAAGCUAUCAUUUGCUUUAUUGGGGUAUCGCACCACAGUCCACACAUCAACUAGGGCAACCCCCUAUAUGCUGGUUUAUGGCACAGAAGCCAUCAUUCCCGCCGAAGUGGAAAUUCCUUCCCUAAGAACCAUACAGAAAGCAGAGCUCGACGACGCAGAAUAGGUAAAGAGUUGCUACGAGUAGCUGGCUCUUAUAGAUGGGAAAAGAAUGAAUGCAGUCUACCAUGGUCAACUUUAUCAUAACAGAAUGUCCAAAGUCUUCAACAAAAGAAGCCAAGAUAGUUCACACCGGGGCAGCUGGUGUUAAAGAAAAUCUUUCCACACCAAGAUGAAGCCAAGGGAAAAUUCUCUCCCAACUGGCAAGUCUCGUACAUGGUUCACCGGGUUCUAACAGGAGGAGCCCUCAUACUAGUAGAAAUGGAUGGAGAAGUCUGGCCAAAGCCGAUCAAUUCGGAUGCAGUCAAGCGUUACUANNNNNNNNNNNNNNNNNNNNNNNNNGCAAUGUCCUGAACCACGUCAUAGUCGUCGAUUCAUCUAAAAGUUUUUUAUUAUACAUUUAUGUCAUAUUUUUACAAAAUCAUGCAUGUUUAUUAUUGAAAUUGGCUUUUUUAGCAACACUACCCCAAUGAUACAUACAGUAUCGCCAGAUCAAAGCCGAGCAGGUCAAGCAAUCUAGAGGGGAUACAAACUAACCUCCCCCUUUACAGAACUCAUGAUUUUUCUUUGGAUACAGCCACUUGAGUUGCAAAAUCGUCAAAUAUAUUAUACACUCACGAGAUAAACAUUGUUCAGGAAUACAACUCUCAUAACUAUUGCACUUACUCACAGUUUCUAUCCGCACACAACAGUGUUCCCAGUAGGCACAAUGUCCCCGGCAAUCACAAUGUCGCGAUCUACUAUCAGCUAAGAAAGCGCUAUUACCAUUCUAUUUAUUGCAUAAGGCUACCAUUCUGCCUUCCAAGACUAAACGAUGUCUCCAUCUGCAUUUUUUUCAUUGCAUAAGGCUACCAUUUUGCCUUCCGAGGUUAAGCUCUACCUCCAUUUGCAUUUCUGCAUUGUAUAAGGCUACCAUUCUGCCUUCCGAGACUAAGCUCUAUCUCCAUCUGCAUUUCCGCAUUGCAUAAGGCUACCAUUCUGCCUUCCGAGACUAAGUGUUGUCUCCAUCUGCAUUUCUGCAUUGCAUAAGGAUACUAUUCUGCCUUCCGAGGUUAAGCUCUACCUCCGUUUGCAUUUGCAUGGAUGAAAGAUCGUCACCUCUACAUUCGCAUGGCUGAAAGAUCACCACUUUAUUUGAAUGGCUGAAAGAUCGCCACCUCUACAUUUGCAUGGCUGAAAGAUCGCCACCUCUACAUUUGCAUGGUUGAAAUAUCACCACCUCUACAUUUGCAUGGCUGAAAGAUCGCCACUUCAUUUGUAUGGCUGAAAGAUUGCCACCUUCUGCAUUGCAUAGGCUGAAAGAUUGCCAAAUACUGCAUCUCAAGGGCUACAAAGAUAGCCAAAUUUUUCAAAGGCGUCAUUGUUCGGAGGCACCAUUUUCAAAGCCUGAGAACAUCAUGCCACGGCCUGAGGACCCCUUUUAAUCUUUUGCAUAUCAUUAUUCAAAGGCAUCAUGGUUCGGAGGCAUCAUUCGCAUAGCCCAAGAGCAUCAUUUCAUGGCCUGCGAAUCUUUUAUUAUACGCUUCAUAGCCCCGGACAUCAUGGUCUAAGGACGUCAUCUUAACCGUCUGAAGACAAACAUUCACGGUCCGACGGGAAUUUGCAUCAUGUUUAAAUUUACAACAAUAUACGCUUGUGUUACUUAUUUGCAGGUGAACCGAAAAGCAACGGCCAUCUUGUCAAGAGUGAUCCGCUCCAGUUCCCGCAGCCCUAUCAGACUUUGACCAGUCACCCCAUCCUAAAUAUUGCGUCCAUUCUUGAAAGGUCUCCAUCGGCAUACUCCGUCGACGGAUCCUGAACAACAUAUGGCCUGAUUCCUAUAAGAUCAGGGAUAUGUAGGAAGCUCAGGAGCCAGAUCAUGGCCAAACCUCUUCAAACCAUUUCAUUCGGUCAAAAUUGGUCAUCGUAUCUUUACCCGGCAACUCUUUCAUCCUUCCCGGGUAAAGAGGGACAGUUGUUGAUAUCCAAUUUUUUCCUGCAUAUUUUUAUAUGCAAAAUACUUUCAAAAUAGCAUAUGUAUACAUAUAUAAGUAUGUUCAAAUGUUUUAAUAUUUUUCCUUAAUUUUUAAAGAUUUUAAAAUCAAUUUAUUGCCCUAUUUUAUCAAGAAAAACCCAAUAAUUAUUCCCAAAAUUAUCAUUUUGGUGAUUCAUUUAUUGUACUCUCAUAUUUAUAAUAAAAUAUAGCUAAUGUGAUUUUUGCAUAUUUUUACAAAUUUAUUUAGUAUUUUUAAAAAAUAAAUUGCAUAUAAUUGCAAUAUUGGCCUCUUUCAGAUUUAAUUACAUUUAUGUCUAUAAAAAUCAGGUCCAAUAUUUUUAAUUUGACAAUGUACUAUUAAUCAUUUUAUUACCUUUUAUAUAUUUUCAGAAAUUAUUUUAUUAUUUUUUAUAAAUCAAAUAGGGAAAAGUGGCUAUUUAAAUAUUAGCCUCAUUUUGUUUCAAUUAUGGCCUGAAUUGAACCCCAAUUUUAAACUCAAUUACCCAGCCCAAAUCCAAGCCAUACCGGACCCACGACCCAAUUAGAACAACCCACCCGGAUCCCCUACCUACCAAUUCAAUCCAGGCCGUUGAUCAAAAUGAUCAACGGCCACCCUUAACCCUUUCCUAAAUUAAUUCCGACCUACCCACACACCCUAGUCAUUGCCGCCUGCAGCCACCUUUGAAUUCACCCCACUCCCAAUCCUCUCUCAAACUCCCUCUCAAACCCUAGCCGCCGCCUUCAAUCACCACCCUAAAAUCGCCUGAAUCAAUGGCUUCCAAAGGUAAAGACCUGUAUCUACCUCCUAUGACUUCUACCUGUCUGGUUAUCAUGUUUUCAAGGCUAGACCUUGAAGAAGUUUUGGUCCGGACCUGGGUUGAUUUCAGUUCCAUGGCUAUCUCCGACCUUGCUUCGGCCAGCCAUGGCUAUUCGAGCCUGAUCUUGACUUCUCCUGCUUAGAUUGAUUCUUUCCAAUCCUUUCUCACCAUCUGGGUUCUUCUGAAACCCUAACCUUCGAGGUUCUUCUAAUUCUUUUAGAUCCGUUGUAGAUCUGUGUUUAUUCUAAACUACUAAACGUUUUCUCAAAAAAUUCUUUCAAAACUUUAGCUUCAGAACCUUUAUCUUUUUCCGAUUUAGGGUUGGGUUAAGUUAUUUAGAAGCUUUCUCUGAUCUUUAGCAUGUUAUACUGUGUUUCUUUAUGUUAUUCUUCUACUGGAGUGUGCAUGAUUAAAAGUCUUAAUUCUUUCUUGAGUUUUCUGAUUUUAUUUUGUUGAUGUUUUUGCCUGAUUUACUUGUUUUUCAUCUCUAUACUCGAGUAAUGGUGAAAACCCUAAAAUUUGGGGUUAAUUCGAGUUCUGAGACUAUUUGCUAUGUGAUUUACUCGUUCGUCAUACUCUGAAUACGAUGGGUCUCAAAAGCCUGAUUCCUUUGAACCUAUUCAAGUUUCUGAAGUUGCUUCACCUGUUGCUCGACUGAAUUUCAAAAUCUUUGUUUCUUUAUAUGAUUCUGACUUCCUGCUAAACUCUAUAAGGUCUUUUACUUGACCCCAUUUUCAUGCUAUUUGAUACUCUCUCUUUUCCCUAUUACUGAGUUACUAAGAUUGACAUAUGGGACUACUAUGUUCCUAUAGUCCACUACUUACUAACUUUGUGAUUGCAUGACGCUUCUCUUUGUCCUAAAUUCAGCCUUGCAUGCCUAAUACUUAUGUACUCUUUUAUAUGCUAAAUUUUCCUCUGAAAUGACCUUCAAUUUAGGAUUGAUUUCAAACCUCCUUGUGUAAUUUUGAUUGCAUUCAUGUGUUAAGUGAUUGACUCUUUCCUUGUUUCGCCUUACUGAUUUCCCUGUUUCUUGGAUUGAUUUGAAAACUUUCCUUAGACUUUCAAUUCCCCCAUUUCUGACUUGGUUCAUUUGUUUAUUCAUGGGAACCCCUGUAUCCUCCCCAAAUCCGUAAUUUCAAAUCCCUGACUCCUUGAUUUACUAUGUACUGAUUGCCUAUAUAUUCUGCAACUUUACGCUGUUUUUUUACCUUAUUUGGUUAACCGAGUAUUUCAAAGAUUCUUCCCUUAAUUAAACCCCUAUGUAUUUACCCCUAAUUGCCUACUUUGCACAAGAUGCUUACUUGAUUUCUUUCUUUAAAGGUUUUCUGUCCAUUACCGUUUAAGUUUAAACUCCUUAAUUAAAGGAAGCUCUAAUACUAAUUGAUUUUAGUUGGUACACAGUUCCAUAAUUAUUUUCUUGCUCUAUUUUUCUGUCUGUUUUCAUACUAUAAAUACCAUGCUCUUUCAUCAACACAUAGACACGAACACACGUAGUCCUAAAAUAUCUUACACUAAAAACAUUCUCUCCUGAUUUACUACUACUGUGACCCAUUUAGUUGGCUGAAAGCUAAAGCUAUUUUCAAAGACUUGCUACCUGCUUUUAUUGUAUUUUGAUUCUUUGAACUAGUAUGUUAUGAUUAAAAUUACAGCAUCACAACAAUGUGUUUACUUAAUACUUUCACCUUCUUGUCUGUCUACUGUUUGUGUUUAGUUUAGUACUUAUUUUAGCAUGCUAUAAUUUCCUUCUGCUUGUUCAGAAUCUAUUAUGAAUCUUAAACCCCUACCCCAAUAUGUUUGAUACUGAUGGUUUGUUUAAGGCAUGACAGUAUUAAGCAUUGUUUUCUAUGACUCAAACGUGAUUUCCCUAGGAUCAUAACCUCUACGUUACCAUUAUGUGAUUGUGUAUUUUGUUGAUUUUGUAAGCAUAAAAGCACUCCAUAUUGUUGUGCAUGCCCAGAAUAAACUAAUGCCUAAGUACAUAGGCCAUUUGCAAUCCCCAAUCCUUGAACCCCCUAUGUGUGAAGUCCUUAAUUGUAACUGUUUCCAAGCACCCCUUUCCCUUUCCUUUACUUCCUUAGUUCUUAAAGUUCUGUUUCUGCACUUCUACUUUCUCUUAGACUUAAGUUCUCCCCCCCCCCCUCUUGUGAGCCUUGCCUUGGGACCCAUUGAGCUCCCUCUGAACUUGGACACUUGAGGGCUGGAACUUCUACACUGCACUUGUCCCCAUUCUGGUGAUACAAUUUAGGUGUGAGCACUGCCCGGAGUCCCAUUGAGGCUCUUAGGGAACUCUGGCACACUCAAAUUAGAGAAAGGCUUUGGAUCAAUGGUCUUUGAGUUGGUCUAUCUCAUAACUCAGAGAGGAAGUCAAGAAUCAGGCUUCCUCUGGUUGUAUUUUUCUUUGUAAUCUUAUUUAUUCUCGGUUUGUAAUAAUUUGUAAUGAACAUUCGGGGCUGGCUAGUGAAAAAGGGUGGGUAACUAUGCAUGCAAGGGUAGAAAACAUGCCUAUAGGACUGUUUUAAUUUUGCAUAUUCAACUUCAUGUAGAAAACCUGCCUAUAGGGUACUUUUAAUUCUGCACAAUUCAAACCGCAUUUAGAUACCAUGUCUAUAAGGUUUAAUACAAGUUUCUGUAUUUAGAUACUAGGUCUAUAAGGAUUAAUACAAGUUCCUGCAUUUAGAUACCAUGUCUAUAAGGUUUAAUACGAGUUUCAGCAUUUAGAUACUAUAUUUAUAAGGGUCUAAAAUCAGCAAUAUAUAGAAAUCAUGCCUAUAGGAAUUUCCUAAAUGAAUCUGAUUCGCUUCACUCAAAUGUUAGAUAAAAUCAGUAAUAAUAGAUACUACCGCCUGCAGCACCUGUAACUAGUCCAAGUUUUGUAUAUUUCGUUCUUUUAAUAACCUAAUUCCCUCGCUCAACAAGGUCUAGUAAUCAUGCCUAUAGGAUUUCAGAUAACUUAUUUCAAGUUUUUACUGUCUCAUCACCUUCUGAAUUCAGUAGAUAUCAUGCCUAUAGGACCCCGUUAAAACACUUAGGCAAGCCUUAGAGUAAUAACUGUAGACUGAAUCUGCUUCUGUUAAUCGCUACAACCAGUAGGCAGGCCUGAUUCGGACUUUCUAUCUGAGUUAUGUAAUAAACUAAAGUUGCCUCAACAAUCUUAUCUUUAGUAUAUUUAAAUCAGACCUAAGCAGUAUGUGUAAGACAUGCUAUUUUAUGUAUUUUGUUUGAGGAGGUGUACUUGAGCCUUAUAUGUUUAUGUGUUUCCCCUUAACAUGCAGUAUGUCUUUUGUAUGUCGCGUUAGUUUACCUUUGAACUCCAAAUAUGCCUGAUAUCCCUCCCUUUUUUAGGAUUAGUAGUCCUAAGUGCCUCUGGGACUGAUAGGAAUGGGACGGGUAAUAGCAUGCAAUAAGUAAUCGAGACCAAUCUGCGCUUUAAAUACCUUAACGGGGUUGGGAAGGGUAGAUAUGGAUAUGAUGACCACGUGAUAAUGUCACGUGUAGCCCCUUAUUGAGGAGUGAUUACCGAACAUUGUGUGGGGUGAUCCAUAUUUUUAAUAAACCUAGGACCCCUUGCCUUUGUUCUUUAUUUCUUUCAGUAUUUUAACUCCUUAUUAAAAAAAAUCAGCUUUUCUAAUUGUUCUUUCAAAUUUUGUUUACUUUCAAACCAUUAUAUACUGAAACCCCCUCUUAUUUGAGCCUUAUUUGCUUCUAUAUUAAUUGCACUCCAAAUUCACAACAAUUGUCUGGCCGGGAACCACACUAGUGGAUUCUCUGCCUAACACCGUCCCCUUAGAAUAAUUUCAAGCCCUUAUCCUAUCUUUGGUUAUUCAAAUCAAACCCUUUGGUGUCCUAAUGCACCCUAAUCAUUAGGUGGCGACUCUUCAAAUUCAAACCCAAUUCCCAAAAAGUAUGAGUUGUCCUUCCAAAUGUCAUAAACCCAGACUCCGCGAGGAAAAAGGGGGUGCGACAGGUAUAAACCCCGAAUUAUGUGCUAUGUGAUUGAUGUUGAGGUGACGCACAUGCUACGUGACAGGCGUGUGGGCGUGCACCCUGUGAAUGAUGACUCUGUUAUUUCUAGGACACUGUGUAGUGGUCCUACUUUAUUGAUAUUUGUGUUUUCACCAUGUGAUAAGUAAAUUGAGUUGUACAUCAUGCUAGAUAUCAUGUCUAGGCUUUAUGCCAAUAUUGUUGAGACCCAUAGUGGUCGUUUCUUGUUGUUAUCUCACUGAUUUUAUUGAUAUUUUGUACUUAGUCAUAUUCAUGUAUUCAUAUAAUAUCUCAGUCUCAGUUGUUAUUAUUGAUACAUUAUAUCAUUAUUUUUGGGCUGAUUUUUAUGACAUUGUGAGACCGUGAGCGAUACUGGAGAGAUUGAUGACUGAGUGAGGACGAGGGCCAGAUUGUGAGAUAUUGAUACUAUAGCACGUGAGUUUUUCGUGCAGCAUGUGAGUUGUUCGUACAGAUACUGAUAUUGAUACUAUAGCAUGUGAAUUGUCCGUACAGCACGUGAGUUGUCCGUGCAGAUACUGAUAUUGAUAUUAUAGCACGUGAAUUAUCCGUGCAGCACAUGAGUUGUCCGUGCAGAUACUGAUAUUGCUACUAUAGCACGUGAGUUGUCUGUGCAUCACGUGAGUUGUCCGUGCAGAUACUGAUAUUUAUACCAUAUCACGUGAGUUGUCCGUGCAUAUUUUAGCACUUGGGUUGUAGGAACCCCUCCGAAAUCUGCACACCUCCAGUGAGCGCAGUCGACUAUAAAUAAAUGGAUCAAGUUGCAUGCUGCAACAAGCCUUAUGGCUAUAUGUAUAUGGAUCGGGUAGCACGCCGCAACGAGUAUAGUACAGUGCUGAGUGAUUGAGAGUGCUGAGUAUUAAGCAUGGUAAAAGAUAAUGCGAGGCAGUGAGAUUGAGUACUCUGAGAGUAUGAGUACAUGAGUUCAUUACUAAGAGGCAUUGCAUUUGGCAUGUGUACUUGAGAUAUAUGCAUAGAGUUGCAUUUCUUUCUGUUGCCUGGUUUGGGUGACAUUCAUGAUUUUACUUGUAUCUUGACAUGUAGGCAUGGAGAUGUACUUUCCUCAUGCCAUUUGAAAAAUGAAAUCUCCAAUUUUGAAAGAAAGUUUUAUGGAAAAAUCAUAGUUUUCAGACUUACUAAUAUUUUGGUGGUUUCAGUGAAAAGAAUUGAGUUUUAAUGUUAUACUUGAAAAGAAACUACUUGUUUUUCCUGAACUGUGAACGAGCUGAGCAUUUUAUUAUUAAUUUAUUAUCUGUGCUGCUUAUGAAUAUUGUUUUGAAGUAUUACUGGAUGUGGGUGUGGACCCUAACCUCGGUACAAGCUCGUCACUGCUUUCAACCUGAGUUUAGGUUUGUUACUUAUUGAGUACAUGGGGUUGGUUGUACUCAUACUACACUUCCUGCACAUUGCGUGCAGAUUUCGGAUGUCGAUGCCGAUGCCGUCAUGUUCGAUGAGAUCUAACUUGGAAGAUGUUUCGACAUCCCUGUUGUAGCUGCCUCUUGUUCAUGGUAGCCUUAGAUUUAUUAAACUCUGUUUAUGUACUUUUCAAACAAAAAAUGUAUUUAUUUCAUAUCAGUUUUGUAAAUUCUACUCAUAGAAGCUCAUGAUUUGUACUGCCAGUCCUUGGGAGGUGUAUAAGAGAUCAUUUAUUUUUUCUUAAUAUGUUAUAUUUUUAUUGGACUUGAUGAGUUGGCUUACCUAGCGGGAUGGGUUAGGUAUCAUCAUGACUAGUUGGAUUUUGGGUCGUGACAAAUGACCUGCUCAGGUAUUCCAUAGCCAAAACAAAUAAGAAAGGUGAAAGUGAAUCACCAUGCCUGAGCCCCUUCUUUGCCUCAAAAGGAUCUGUUGGACUACCAUUUAUUAGAACUGAAUAAAUCAUUGUACUAAUGCAAGCCAUUAUCCAUCUCACAAAGAUUUCUGGAAAAUUCAGUGACCUUAACACUUGUUCUAUGUACAUCCACUCCACAGAGUCAUAUGCUUUUUGCAUGUCAAUUUUAAGCAUACAUCUAGGGGAGAUACUCUUCCUUCCAUAACCUUUCACUAGUUCAUGACUCAUCAAAAUGUUAUCUGUGAUCAGCUUUCCAAGUACAAAAGCAGCUUGACAAUUAUCCACCAGUCUAUCCAUCACCCCUUGCAUUCUUGUAGUUAUCACUUUAGAGAUGAGCUUAUAUAGAACUGUAUAGCAAGAAAUAGGUUUAAAGUCUCUUAUGUUUGUUGGAUUCUGGAUAUUUGGAAUCAGUGUGAUUGUUUUGCAAUUAAUGGCUUUACACAUAUCUGCACUCUCAAAGAAAUCUUGAACUGUUGCAGUUAUUUCCUCUCCCACAAUGUUCCAUGUCUUCUUAAAGAAGUAGGAGUUAUACCCAUCACACAUUGGUGCCUUGUUAUCAUCAAUGCCCAAUAAAGCUUGUUUCACCUCUUCGUUGCUGACUGGACUGAUUAACUGUAGUUGUUGACUCAUGUUCAACACAUUGUCAUUCUUCAUUAUAUCAUAGUUGAUCAUUGGUAGCUGUGUAGCUGAACUACCAAGUAACCCCCUAUAAAAAUUUAGAAUUUAUGCUUUUAUCUCUUCAGUAUUUUGCACUAUAUCCCCAUUACUAUCGAUUAACCUGCCAAUGUUGUUCCUUGCUUGUCUAUUUUUCAUACAAGCAUGAUAAAAAGUUGUAUUAGAAUCUCCCAAAUUAAGCCACUGUACUCUGGACUUUUGCUUCAUAAUACUCUCAUCCACCAUUAGCCAUUUCUCUAGCUCCAAUUCAGUAGUUCUUUCCAAUUCAACCUACAUUUCUCCUUGGUCAGGACAACUCAUUUGGUUAUGUAUACUUUCUAAUCUUUCUCUAGCACCAUGCUUACUAUCAAUGCCACUGAACUCCUCUUUAUUCAUCUGCUUCAGUAACACUUUUAACUUCUUAAAUUUGUUCCACAUUGUCAACAUUGUUUGUCUGCUCUUCCCAAGCUCUCAACCAAUCUGCACUAUAUCUUCAAAAGACUUCAAGUUUACCAGACAGUUCAAAAACUUGAAAGGUUUCCCUCCAACUUGGCUACUUGUAUCAAACUUCACACUUAGAGGGCAAUGAUCAGAGAAACCAGGGUUCAUAGACACCCCCUCCAUAUUGGGCCACAUUUGUAUCCAUUCAGAAUUUACCAGAAUUCUAUCAAUCCUACUAUAUACAUAGUUAUUAGUCCAUGUGUAUUGUCUUCCCACUGUCUUCAGUUCAUCUACUUUAGCAUCCACUAAAAAUUAUUUAAAUUCCCUUAUCUCCAUCUCCUACACAGGACUACCAUUGAAUCUAUCUUCACUGGUUUGAAUUGUAUUGAAGUCCCCCAUUAUAAGGCAAGGACUCCUUAUAUUGACUACUCAUAUCAGCAUCUCCUCCCAUAGAUUCUUUCUGUCAUGCAUUGUAUGCUUACCAUAGACAGCACAUAGGUGAAACUGAACAUUCUGCUACAAUGUUGUUACUUUUCCCAGAAUAAAUUGUUCAUGAUAUUUAGUCAUUGUAUAGUCCACCAAUGUAGAAUCCCAUGCAACCCAUAUUCUACCCCCAGGAGCCUCAUCAUAGUUAUCCACCCAUUUCCAGUUUUUCAGAGCCUUCCUUAACACAGACUCAGCAUUACUUUGCUUCACUCUAUGUUCAAUUAUGGCUAUCAAUACUACAUUAUUAAUCCUGCAAAAAAAUUUUAGUUCUUUUUGUUUGUACACCUUAUUCAGACCCCUUACAUUCCAUGCAAUAAAGUUCAUCAUGAUAUAAUAGAUAAAAUUGGAGGUCCACCCUUAUCUUCCUUGUUUUGCAUUUCUUUUGCACCUUGAGCUUCAGACAGUUGAACAAUUUUUUGAGCAUUAUCAACCAGAGCUUUGAAAGCAUUGCCAAUAUCCACUUCCUUUUCCCUUAUCACAUUUGUGUGCUUCUUAGUUGCAAAUCUUCCUCGAGCUAUUUGCCAUUGUGUUUCAACCUCUGAGUUACUAUUAUAUAUAGUUGCUUCUUCCUCCAAUUGUUCAUUAAAUCUCCCUUGUGCAUCAGUUUUGUCAACCUUAGGAUCAAGUGCUCUAACUUUUCUCCACUCCUGCUUUUUCUUCCCUUCCACAUUUUUCCUCACUGCAUCCUGUCUCAGCUUCCUUUGAUCCUUACAUGUAUGGCCAAGUUGACAGCAUUUUUGGCAGUAUAAUGGUUUCCAGUCAUAGUGUACUAAUUGUUCCAACACCUUUCCUUUUGGAUCACAUAGCUUAAUCUUCUCUGGUAAUGGCCUAGUAACGUCCAUCUCUAUUAAAAUUCUUGCAUAUAAAAUUCUCUCAGCAAUCAUUGUAGAAGCAUCAGCAUAUUUUGGUUUCCCCAAACUACUUCCUAUCUUACUUAACGCUUGAUUACUCCAAAGGUUAAGCGGUAGAUUUGGAGGCUUGAUCCACAGAGGGAUAGUCCUCAGAACUUCUUCAUUAAAAUCAAAAUUCUUCGACCAUUGCCUCAUGAUAACUGGCCUAUUGUUAAUUGUAGAAGGACCAUUCAUCAGCACUCUCUCCUUCUCUUCAUUAGUACUACGCAUGACUAUGAAAUAUCCAUCAUUAUGAAAUAAUACCUUAGGUUUCUGCAAACUUGCCCAUUGAUUAGUGAUGAACCUUUCGAUGGCUCUGAUUGAAGGUGUAUUCCCCACCACAUACAAUAUUACUGCUCUAGUCCGUUUUACAUUUUCCUCUUCAAUGUCUUCCUCCAUCAGCUGCACAACAACUUCACCAUCCUUCAUUGUCGGGGGUAUAUAGGUGAGAUUCAUACCUUUUGCAGCUAACUUGUUCUCCUGGAGUGAUCCCGCCCAUGAUUGACCCUUAUCAACUGCUGGAAUUGAGUUCUUCACUUGAGAUUCCUUUUGGUUAUCCAUAGAAAUAGCCCUCUGUUUCUUGCUUGAGCUUGCAUGUGUUGUUCCAUUGGAUUUUGCCUCACUCAAGCUGGGUUUCUCACUUACAACCCUCAUUUCGCAAUUUCCUUUGUUCAUGUUUUCCGUCAGUGCCAAUUUCCUGCUAGAAUUCACUGGUGUUGUUGCUUGAUUCCGAUACUUGUCCAGAUCUGGCUAGUUAUCGUCACUAUCAUUUUCAUGCUCUAUCUCCUCCUCCUGUAUUUGAUCCUUGGCUUUGGCCUUACCUUUCCCUUGUUCACUCGAUCUAGUCAUCGUAAUCUUCUGAUCUAGUACUGGCUUUUUGGUGGUAUUCUUCCUCGGUCGUCCUCUUCCUUCCAUUUUCGAUGAAGGCGCAGGUUAGUCAGUCGCCUAACGUGCGCCGAGAGAAAAACCGGGGGUUUUUGCUUAUAACAAGUUUAAUGCUACUUUUAUGGAGUUCCUUUUCUUUAUAUAAAAAAAAUUAAAUAAAAAGAGGAAUUUUAUUAUCUAAUAAUACUUGAUUUUUCCUCUUUUUUCAUGUAUGAGGCAAGAAUGUCGGAAAUGUAACCUUUAUGUGACACUCUUUGAAGAUAGGGGUUCAAAUUGUUUCGCCAAAUAAUUAGCUUAAGAACAUAGAUUUUUAAAUUAUGUAAUGAAGACAACUCGUCUUCAGAAUAAUAGCGAGUUUGCAUCUCAAACUUUGAUUGAUUAAUUAUUUUAUGUCAGCUGAAAUAACAACUGUAUAUUAUGUUGCUCGUAUUUGUGAAAGAGAUAAAUUGUCGCAAUUAUGAAAAUGUAAAUAUAAAAGUACACAGAUCAAUUAAUUAAAAAUUUAAUUUGCUUAUCCAGAUAUUAUGAGGACCAAAUUAAGAAUUUGCUAAUAUUUGAGACACUGAGGGGUCAUUUGAUAUGAGCUAUAAGUAGAUAUAAUGAUGAUAUAAAAAUUUAAUAUCACCUUAAUACUUUGUUUGGUUAGCAAACUUGAUAUAAGUUAUUCCGAGAUUAAAAUUAGUAUCGGGAUAACUUAUACCCUAUACGGGUAGGGUAAUUACUGCUAGGAUAACUUAUAUUUUCUUCUUAAAAAUUAUACAAUUGUUAUUUUUAAUACAACAUACCAAACAAUGGAUAAAAAACAAUACCAGAUAACUAAUCCCAACAUAACUAAUUCCGACAUAACUUAUCCGGCUUAUAGCAUAAGCCGUAUACAAAGCAAACAAUCCCGAAAAGUAUAAUUUUUUUAUUAAAAUAAAAAUCAGGUUUUCUGGCCAUGUAUUAUUUCCUUUUCGCCAUGUUAAGUCUUGAGAAUAUCAUUUUAAUUCAUAGGGCAGUAGGGGGGAACAAAGAAGGCUACACCAAAUUGGAAUAUAUAUUUUUCAAUAUAUCAAACUUAAACAGCAUAACUAAGCAAAUACAUAAAAAUAGCAAAGUAGGUUAAAUAUUUUGGCACUCAUUUUCAUAUUCUUACAAAGUCAAAAAGUCGUAUAACUUUCCAUGUACUCGAAUAGAUUAUAAGAAAACAAAGCCAAGAACCGAUAGUCACAUUAAUCUAUUUUUACAAUUAAAUUACAAUCACAUAUCUAUACAACAACAUUCUUAUAUAAUAAUUUCGCUAUAAAAGUCGAACUUAACUUUUUCUCGAAAUCGAAUAUUACAUUAUAUUAUGAUAUAUGUACUCUACAACAACAAUUCACUAUAGCAACAACAACAAUUCACUAUAGCAACUGAAAAAAUUCGAAACAAACGAGACUGUUAUAUAGAAGUUUUACUAUAUUUACACUUGGAGAAAAGCUCCCCCUUUAACAUAUUCAGUAAAAGCCAGGGCAACUAAUCCCAACAUAGCAAAUCUUCCAUUCCAAAUCUCAGCAUCAGCACUCAUAAUCCCACUUGUAUAUUUUUUCUCAGCUCUAAUUCCUUGAAAUAGAGGAAUUAGAGAGGCUAGUGUUAGCAAAGCACUUGUCCCCAAAAACCACGAGAAACCUCCGCUCGAUAGCUGAGCGAAGAUGUCGCCGCCGUUGGCGAAUUCAGCGCCAAGGGCGGCGACAAAUCCUAUCAUUGCUAGCCUGCCAUUAAUACGCUCUGGUGCUGGACCAGAGAAGGCGAAUAGGUCUCCGAAUUUGGUGCUGGUCUGUUCACAAAAUUGUAUGAGAAAUGUUAGAACAAUGAUCUUGCCUGUUGAAGUGAUAGAAGUACUAAUACAUAUCAAAACAAUAAUAUUAAAUAUUUAUGCUAAUAAAUAUCAAAAUACUAAAAAUUUCGCAGUUCAGUACUAGUUGUCUAUUUUUCACUUUCACUCCCUUCAAAAAAAGUAUGUAUUUUAUAAUUUUACUCACAAUAAUAUUAUAUAGCAUUUCCAAAAGUCAUCAAAAAUGAUUUAAAAAAUGAAUAAUUAGUUAUAAGGGUAAAACAGGAAGAAAAAAAUCGUCAUUCUCUUGAUUUAAUACAAUGACAAAUAAAAAUAAAAAUAUAUUUUUUAUAUAGUAGAUAAAUAAAAGUGAAAGGAGAAAGUAUUAAAUAUGCAUAUUAUUAUGUCACUUGAAAAACACCACUUGUACUUAUAAUAAGUAUCAUUAAUUAUACUAAUAAAAGGGCGAAGUAUAUACUUAAACAUACUAAUCAUUCUUUGUUUCUGCAUUUGCUAUGUUAGUGAAUAUUAUUUGUUUGAUCUAUUUCACGUAAACUGAAACAGAUAAAAUUAUAUUUAAGUAAAUAUAUCAGAUAAAAUUUUGUAGUUUUUGAAAAAGUUGAAAAAUGUAGACCUUAGCCACAGGACGAGGUGUUGGUAUGGGUGUUGGUGUUGGCGUAGGUGUUGUAGCAAUAUCAUUCAAGGAGUUUGAAGUUUGGCCCUUCUCACCAUCCUGCAAAUUUUUCAAACGUCAAUAUUUCAUUAAUUUAAAGUAGCUUGGCACGCAAAAAAAAAAAAUAAUAAUAAUAAUAAUAAUAACAUGCAAUAUUUUCAUAUUUGUGACCAUAAGAGCAUGUUAAUAAGUAUAAGACAAAAAAACCUGAAAUUAGAAUACUCCUUCCGUUUCACUUUGUUGGCAUAUACGGGAUGCCAAAAUGGUUAAAAAAAAAUAGUUAAUCACUUAUAUUGUCCACUAAAAAAUGAGUUAGAUAAUAAACUUUUUAAAAAAAAAACAAAUAUGAAUAAGAAUCAUAUUAUCCGCUUAAAAUAUGAAUAAUCAAUGAGUAACCAAUGAAUAACUAAUAGGUCUAACUUUUAGAUAUAUAAAACCUCAAAUCUAGAGUUUCUCAAGUUAGGGAAACUAAAAAAAAUUCUAAAAGUGAUUAUUUGCAAUAAAUCAUGGCCGGUUAACUCGUUUUUUAUCCAUAUUAAUUAUGAUCGGAUCGAAUAACUUAUCCGUUUCUCAUUACCCGUUUUGGACCCAAAUCAUAUCGGAUCUGAUCUGAUCCGACCCACCCGUCUGCCACUCCUGGUACGAAUUAUGAGAGCUAAAAUACUAAACUUUGACGAUAAAUUCGGACAUAGUUUUAUCAUGUUUUUUAAAAUAAAAUUAAAUCAUCCAACAUCUUACCUCGGACAUACACUUAACACUAAGAGUAGAAUUCCUCUGAGGGCGUGGAAUGUUACAACAAGGAACGAACUGAUUCACUCCAUUCCUCUUUGACACUAUUGGACUUCCCAAAAUCAUAGACUGCAUACCACCACAAAUUGCCAUCUNNN